rnacentral:rRNA from 1 species
ACUCCUACGGGAGGCAGCAGUGGGGAAUAUUGCACAAUGGGCGCAAGCCUGAUGCAGCCAUGCCGCGUGUGUGAAGAAGGCCUUCGGGUUGUAAAGCACUUUCAGUCGUGAGGAAGGUGGUAGUGUUAAUAGCACUGUCAUUUGUACGUUAGCGACAGAAGAAGCACCGGCUAACUCCGUGCCAGCAGCCGCGGUAAGUACGGAGGGUGCGAGCGUUAAUCGGAAUUACGUGGGCGUAAAGCGCAUGCAGGUGGUUGUUAAGUCAGAUGUGAAAGCCCGGGGCUCAACCUCGGAAUUGCAUUUGAAACUGGCAGACUAGAGUACUGUAGAGGGGGUAGAAUUUCAGGUGUAGCGGUGAAAUGCGUAGAGAUCUGAAGGAAUACCGGUGGCGAAGGCGGCCCCUGGACAGAUACUGACACUCAGAUGCGAAAGCGUGGGAGCAAACAGGAUUAGAUACCCCUGGUAGCGACUGA